rfam:Asian citrus Psyllid, Diaphorina citri - Florida Strain, whole genome shotgun sequence.
GCCUCGGUGGCGUAGUGGUCAAGACGCUCGCCUGGUAAACAGGAGGGCGUGGGUUCGAUCCCAUCCGAGGUA